rnacentral:tRNA from 1 species
GCCGGAAUAGCUCAGUUGGUAGAGCAGGGGACUGAAAAUCCUCGUGUCACCAGUUCA